AAGUCGUAACAAGGUUUCCGUAGGUGAACCUGCGGAAGGAUCAUUACUGAGAACUUGCCCUUCGGGGUAGAUCUCCCACCCUAUGUUUACAUUACUCUGUUGCUUUGGCGGGCCUGUCCCAGUGACUGCAGGCUUUGGCUUGCUCGUGCCCGCCAGGCCAAACCCAAACUCUGAAUAUAUGUCGUCUGAGUACAAUAUAAAUAAGUUAAAACUUUCAACAACGGAUCUCUUGGUUCUG
rnacentral:misc_RNA from 1 species